UCUAGUCGCAAACUGUAUUUGUGCUCCUGAAUGCUUGUAUGAUUCAGUUGUUCCUUCUAAUAAAAUAUGCCUUGCUUUCCCCUGGAUCAGUGAUGGGGUUUAAUGGGUGAGAGUGAGGGCCCUGUUCUCAUCUGGCUAACAUGACUCUAGUGAAAUGAAACUAUAAGGCUGGGUUUAGGAUUCAAGCCUGUGUUCUUCUGGUUUACCUUGGGUUCCUCUAUUCUACAGUAAACCUCUUAGUUGAAACUUAUUUACUAUCAAGCCCAAAAGGUCUACCAAGAAUUAGUAUUAGAAAUUGACCCUAGUUGCAAAUUAGGGAUAUCAUUAUGGUCCUGUAUUAUUGAGGGUCGUAUGUGUCUGUUCUUGACAUCUUUCCCUGUAUAGCUUCAGAGGGCACAGAAAGAGUCCUCAGUGGUGGAUCCUGGUUCUGUUGUUUCCUCCAGAGUUGUGGGUCUCCGAAUGAAUACCAGAGCUUUGACAUUUUAGAUGGCCCACGGCAACAUCUCCAUUGUUUUCAUGUACAUUUUUAUACCUGAAAUUUCUGGUAGUGUGGGCACUUGUCCUCCUGGCAGAUUUUGUCCUGGAGUUCAGAUUUGAAUACCUGUGGCCGUUUUGGCUUUUCAUCAGAAGCGUCUAUGAUUCCUUCAGAUACCAGG